GGGGGCGGCUGGGAAGUGGCUGGCGCCGACCUCCGCCUCCGUGGGGCACCGCCCGGGCCCGAGUGCGUAGUCGAGGUCCUGGGUAGCUGCGGGGUGCGGGAGCGGGCGCUGUGCGGCGGCGACAGAAAGGGAUUGCUGACCCCUGAACUCGGCAUGAAUAAAUCAAUCACCUGAGAAACUUUGUGCUAUGAGAAAAAAGCCAGACACCGAAGACCACAGACAUGAUUCCAUGCACAUGAAGCAUCUAGAACAGACAGGUUAGAGACGGAAGCGGCUCAGCGGUUGCUCGGAUGGGAAUGCGGGCAGGGAUCGGCGGCACCUGGCCCCGGGACGCUCUCUGGUGGACACAAGUGUUCUACAACAGCUCUGAAAACUUGCUAAAACUCACCCAGCUGUACACUUAGCAGGCUGACUGUCACAGUAUCUACCUGUUGACACCAUGCCAGGCAGCACUGAUUCACUGUGAUGCUCUGAAUACGUCCCCUUAGAGACGUCCAGAAACCGGAAUGCCGUGCUCAUCUUUCUUUGGCAGCCGAUGCCGGUGUCCAACCAUGCCUGCCUUGUGUGUGUGACCUCCAGCCAAGUUGUCUGCCACCUCUGUUUGGUUCCCGUGACCCUUUGUGACUGAUCAAAGAUGGAAGCUGGAGCUCUUGCUGGACACGAAAAUGCACUGUGCUCAGGGCAGGGUCCUCACAAUUUAGGGGAUCAGUCCCCUGGAGGGCUGGCCACUGGGUCCAUCGCAGAUCUGGGCUGAGGCCCCAUAAUUUGCAUUCCUCACAGGUUUCCAGGUGAUGCUGAGGAAGGAAACAGCAGAGGGUAUAAGGGGGCCAUCAGGGAACUGGUGGGUGAUGUCCCUGAGGGCAUCCUAAGCCCCCUGCAGCUGCGGUUGAUCACAGAACAGGCUGACAUCCUGUCACAGCUGGGAUGGGAAAGCAGAUGGGGCCUGGGAGGCAGUAACCUAAGUCUGUGGUGCAGAUUCAGAUCCCACCUCUUAGUGCAGGCCUGCCGUCCCCGACCAAACAGCCAGGCUCUCCUGCAGACGCCCUCCUGAUGGGGUUUGGGGCGCCUGCCAC